rnacentral:misc_RNA from 1 species
CCCAAAGUGAAGAGUCUCUCUCAGACUCCUUAUGCCUUACUAUUUCUACUCUGUGGAUUGAAAUAUUGUUUUGACUCAUUCAAAAGAUGAUGGGUUUAGGGUCUUUCGGUAAUGGGGGUUCCUCAUCAUCCUUCUCCAAUUUAUCACCUUUAGCUCCACCUUUUACUGUUGAUCGGUCCAAUUCCAAAACGGUUUCAACCCAAUUGUUGAAUUUCAGUGAUUCAUCCUAUACCGGUACAGUACCAUUUGGACAGUCAUGGCAGUAUGCUGCUGCUGACCCAUCACCCACUGGAUACAAUUUUUUCCCUUCAGUUACUGAUUCUGUGCCCACAACUUGUAAUAUGCCUUUAUCACCUGAGUUUACCCCUGCUGAUUCAGUGGAACCAGGUAGUCACUUUUGGUCAACUCCAAACCCAACUGUUAAUGCUUCGACUGAAACCUAUUCGUUUGGCCGUGAGGGAUAUUAUGCCGCUUAUGUGCCUUCCUUAGUGAGCAAUGAACACCCCUCAUCGGCUUUCAAUGAACCUUCGCUUGAUGUUUUGCCUAAUUCUGGUAAUAUUCAUGUGGAUGCAUCCUCCUCGCAAGUUGAUUAUACCCAGACCUUGUCUGGUUUGGAAUACCCGCAUUGGAGUUUUUUUAGUAAAGUGGCUGAUGGGAAGCAAGAAGAGAAGAAAGGAGUUGAUGGGAGUUUUUCCUCGGGGAAUGUUAAUGUUGGUGCUUCAUAUGGUUACAGGAAUUGCAUGUCUAAAGGUAAUUCCCUUGAAGGUGCGAACAUACCUAGAGAAAAUUCUGGUGCUGCAAAUUUUAUUGAUGGAGUAUAUACUGGGCCAUCAAGUAUAGGACAUAUGGAUGCCAAAUCGUAUCUCACUCAAGAACCAAUCUACCAGUCUCUUACUUCAGAAACAGCUAUGGGUUCAUUUAGCCCCGUGUCUUGCCAAGUGGGUCUUUCUUUAGGGUCUUCUAGUAAUUACUUGAACUAUAAAAACCCUUUUACUCCACAUGGGAAAUUCUUCCAACCCCUUGAUUCUUGUCCCCGUGAUACUACAUCCACAUCAAAAUCUUCUCCUGUAUUGGUUUUCAGACCAGCACCUUCUGGAAGCCGUUUCUUCGCACCUAAGAUAGACUUGCACAAAAAUGUGGAUAUUUGCAAAACUGGAGCUACAAACACUGAGAAAUCAGAUGUCUGUAACGUGUUAAAGAGUCAGGAAACUCGGUUACCAAUAGAUUCUCCGAUCAAAGAGUUUUCCUUGGGCUCAAGCACACCGCCGGACUUUGACAAGAUCAAAAACAAUUUUUUUGCAUCGUCGUCAGUUAACAAUCUGUGCUCGACCCGUCCUUGUAGCAGCAAUAGCAUAGAGAUUGCAGUUAAAGAAAGAUCUGGAUCUCAAGCUCCUUGCGCUAGUGCACCACCUGUGACUUCUGCUGAGAAAUGUUCAGAUGCUCUAGAUCUUCAUAACCCAAAUGUAGAUUCACCCUGCUGGAAAGGUGCUCCUGCUUUUCGUGUUUCUCUCAGCGACUCUGUUGAAGCUCCAAGCCCGUGCAUCUUAACA